rnacentral:rRNA from 1 species
AAGCGCUUGUGACCAGACUUGCGCCCGGCGGAUCAUCCGGUGUUCUCACCGGUGCACUCCGUCGGGCUCAGGCCAGCAUCGGUUCUUGCGGGGGGAUAAAAGCCUUGGGAACGUAGCUCCUCCGGGAGUGUUAUAGCCCACCGUGUAAUACCCUGGGGGGGACUGAGGUUCGCGCAUCUGCAAGGAUGCUGGCGUAAUGGUCAUCAACGA